rnacentral:rRNA from 1 species
UACGAAGGGGGCUAGCGUUGCUCGGAAUCACUGGGCGUAAAGGGUGCGUAGGCGGGUCUUUAAGUCAGGGGUGAAAUCCUGGAGCUCAACUCCAGAACUGCCUUUGAUACUGAGGAUCUUGAGUUCGGGAGAGGUGAGUGGAACUGCGAGUGUAGAGGUGAAAUUCGUAGAUAUUCGCAAGAACACCAGUGGCGAAGGCGGCUCACUGGCCCGAUACUGACACUGAGGUGCGAAAGCGUGGGGAGCAAACAGG